UAAAACAUAGUGUUAAGGCACCAAAUCCCAUUAGAACUUUGCAGUUAAGUGUGCUCAGACUAGAGUAGUACUGUGAUGGGUGACCACCUGGGAAGUCAUAGUGUUUUAC
rnacentral:rRNA from 1 species